rnacentral:rRNA from 1 species
UGAGGAAUCUUGCGCAAUGGGCGAAAGCCUGACGCAGCAACGCCGCGUGAGGGAAGAAGGCCUUCGGGUUGUAAACCUCUUUCGAUCGGAAAGAAACCCCUGAAUGCUAAUACCAUUCAGGAUUGACGGUACCGAGAGAAGAAGCCACGGCUAACUCUGUGCCAGCAGCCGCGGUAAGACAGAGGUGGCGAGCGUUGUUCGGAAUUACUGGGCGUAAAGGGUGUGUAGGUGGUCAGAUAAGUCAGUGGUGAAAUCCUACGGCUUAACCGUAGAACUGCCUUUGAUACUGUCUGACUAGAGUGCAGGAGAGGAGGGUGGAAUUCCCGGUGUAGAGGUGAAAUUCGUAGAUAUCGGGAGGAACACCAGUGGCGAAGGCGGCCCUCUGGACUGUAACUGACACUGAGACACGAAAGCGUGGGGAGCAAACAG